rnacentral:rRNA from 1 species
AGUGAACGCUGGCGGUAGGCCUAACACAUGCAAGUCGAACGGCAGCACAGUAAGAGCUUGCUCUUACGGGUGGCGAGUGGCGGACGGGUGAGGAAUACAUCGGAAUCUACUUUUUCGUGGGGGAUAACGUAGGGAAACUUACGCUAAUACCGCAUACGACCUACGGGUGAAAGCAGGGGAUCUUCGGACCUUGCGCGAUUGAAUGAGCCGAUGUCGGAUUAGCUAGUUGGCGGGGUAAAGGCCCACCAAGGCGACGAUCCGUAGCUGGUCUGAGAGGAUGAUCAGCCACACUGGAACUGAGACACGGUCCAGACUCCUACGGGAGGCAGCAGUGGGGAAUAUUGGACAAUGGGCGCAAGCCUGAUCCAGCCAUACCGCGUGGGUGAAGAAGGCCUUCGGGUUGUAAAGCCCUUUUGUUGGGAAAGAAAAGCAGCAGGUUAAUACCCCGCUGUCCUGACGGUACCAAAAGAAUAAGCACCGGCUAACUUCGUG